rnacentral:rRNA from 1 species
AUUGAACGCUGGCGGCAUGCUUUACACAUGCAAGUCGAACGGUAACAGGGUGCUUGCACCGCUGACGAGUGGCGAACGGGUGAGUAAUGCGUCGGAACGCACCGAGUAAUGGGGGAUAACGCAGCGAAAGCUGUGCUAAUACCGCAUACGCUCUGAGGAGGAAAGCGGGGGACCUUCGGGCCUCGCGUUAUUCGAGCGGCCGACGUCUGAUUAGCUAGUAGGUGAGGUAAGAGCUCACCUAGGCGACGAUCAGUAGCGGGUCUGAGAGGAUGAUCCGCCACACUGGGACUGAGACACGGCCCAGACUCCUACGGGAGGCAGCAGUGGGGAAUUUUGGACAAUGGGCGCAAGCCUGAUCCAGCCAUGCCGCGUGUCUGAAGAAGGCCUUCGGGUUGUAAAGGACUUUUGUCAAGGAGGAAAUCCUUAGCGCUAAUACCGCUGAGGGAUGACAGUACCUGAAGAAUAAGCACCGGCUAACUACGUGCCAGCCGCCGCGGUAAGAC